rnacentral:rRNA from 1 species
CCUACGGGAGGCAGCAGUGGGGAAUAUUGCACAAUGGGCGAAAGCCUGAUCCAGCAACGCCGCGUGAAGGAAUAAGGGUUUCGGCUCGUUAACUUCUAUUAUCAGGGACGAAAGAAAUGACGGUACCUGAAGAAUAAGCCCCGGCUAACUACGUGUCAGCAGCCGGGGUAAUACGUAGGGGGCAAGCGUUAUCCGGAAUUACUGGGUGUAAAGGGUGAGUAGGCGGCAUGGUAAGCCAGAUGUGAAAGCCUUGGGCUUAACCCGAGGAUUGCAUUUGGAACUAUCAAGCUAGAGUAAAGGAGAGGAAAGCGGAAGUCGGAGUGUAGCGGUGAAAUGCGUAGAUAUUAGGAAGAACAUCAGUGGCGAAGGCGGCUUUCUGGACGGAAACUGAGGCUGAGGCACGAAAGCGUGGGGAGCGAACAGGAUUAGAUACCCGGUAGUC